rnacentral:rRNA from 1 species
GACGAACGCUGGCGGCGUGCCUAAUACAUGCAAGUCGAGCGAAGUUUUUCUGGUGCUUGCACUAGAAAAACUUAGCGGCGAACGGGUGAGUAACACGUAAAGAACCUGCCUCAUAGACUGGGACAACUAUUGGAAACGAUAGCUAAUACCGGAUAACAGCAUUAACUGCAUGGUUGAUGUUUAAAAGUUGGUUUUGCUAACACUAUGAGAUGGCUUUGCGGUGCAUUAGCUAGUUGGUGGGGUAAAGGCCUACCAAGGCGACGAUGCAUAGCCGACCUGAGAGGGUGAUCGGCCACACUGGGACUGAGACACGGCCCAGACUCCUACGGGAGGCAGCAGUAGGGAAUCUUCCGCAAUGGGCGAAAGCCUGACGGAGCAACGCCGCGUGAGUGAAGAAGGAUUUCGGUUCGUAAAGCUCUGUUGUUAGGGAAGAAUGAUUGUGUAGUAACUAUACACAGUAGAGACGGUACCUAACCAGAAAGCCACGGCUAACUACGUGCCAGCAGCCGCGGUAAUACGUAGGUGGCAAGCGUUGUCCGGAAUUAUUGGGCGUAAAGCGCGCGCAGGUGGUUUGAUAAGUCUGAUGUGAAAGCCCACGGCUCAACCGUGGAGGGUCAUUGGAAACUGUUAAACUUGAGUGCAGGAGAGAAAAGUGGAAUUCCUAGUGUAGCGGUGAAAUGCGUAGAGAUUAGGAGGAACACCAGUGGCGAAGGCGGCUUUUUGGCCUGUAACUGACACUGAGGCGCGAAAGCGUGGGGAGCAAACAGG